GUGAUCCGGUGAGCUGUCCGGACUGCGAUAGUUCAGUUCUGUUCUCUUCGCGGGAAGUUCUGCAACCUUAUCACUAGAGGAAGGAGAGUCGUAACAAGGUUCCGUAGGUGACUGCGGAAGGAUCAUCA
rnacentral:ncRNA from 1 species